rnacentral:rRNA from 1 species
AGCAGUAGCCGCGGUAAUACAGAGGGUGCGAGCGUUAAUCGGAUUUACUGGGCGUAAAGCGUGCGUAGGCGGCUUCUUAAGUCGGAUGUGAAAUCCCUGAGCUUAACUUAGGAAUUGCAUUCGAUACUGGGAAGCUAGAGUAUGGGAGAGGAUGGUAGAAUUCCAGGUGUAGCGGUGAAAUGCGUAGAGAUCUGGAGGAAUACCGAUGGCGAAGGCAGCCAUCUGGCCUAAUACUGACGCUGAGGUACGAAAGCAUGGGGAGCAAACAGGAUUAGAGACCCCGGUAGUCCCUGUCUCUUAUAC